GCUAGCGGCAGGCUUACACAUGCAAGUCGAGGGGUAUAGAGAGCUUGCUCUCUAGAGACCGGCGCACGGGUGCGUAACGCGUAUGCAAUCUACCUUUUACAAAGGGAUAGCCCAGAGAAAUUUGGAUUAAUACCUUAUAGUAUUAAGUUUUGGCAUCAAGAUUUAAUUAAAGAUUUAUCGGUAAAAGAUGAGCAUGCGUCCCAUUAGCUAGUUGGUAAGGUAACGGCUUACCAAGGCAACGAUGGGUAGGGGUCCUGAGAGGGAGAUCCCCCACACUGGUACUGAGACACGGAUCAGACUCCUACGGGAGGCAGCAGUGAGGAAUAUUGGUCAAUGGACGCAAGUCUGAACCAGCCAUGCCGCGUGCAGGAUGACGGUCCUAUGGAUUGUAAACUGCUUUUGUACAGGAAGAAACCCUACUUCGUGAAGUAGAUUGACGGUACUGUAAGAAUAAGGAUCGGCUAACUCCGUGCCAGCAGCCGCGGUAAUACGAAGGAUCCAAGCGUUAUCCGGAAUCAUUGGGUUUAAAGGGUCCGUAGGCGGCUUAGCAAGUCAGUGGUGAAAUCUCCCCGCUCAACGGGGAAACGGCCAUUGAUACUACUAGGCUUGAAUUAUUAGGAAGUAACUAGAAUAUGUAGUGUAGCGGUGAAAUGCUUAGAUAUUACAUGGAAUACCAAUUGCGAAGGGCAGGUUACUACUAAUAUAUUGACGCUGAUGGACGAAAGCGUGGGGAGCGAACAGGAUUAGAUACCCUGGUAGUCCACGCCGUAA
rnacentral:rRNA from 1 species